rnacentral:rRNA from 1 species
UACGUAGGGUGCGAGCGUUGUCCGGAAUUAUUGGGCGUAAAGAGCUCGUAGGCGGUGUGUCACGUCGUUCGUGAAAACCCUGCAGCUUAACUGUGGGCGUGCGGUCGAUACGGGCAUCACUGGAGUUCGGCAGGGGAGCUGAAUUCCUGGUGUAGCGGUGAAAUGCGCAGAUAUCAGGAGGAACACCUGCGGCGAAGGCGGGUAGCUGGGCCGAUACUGACACUGGAGGAGCGAAAGCGUGGGGAGCGAACAGGAUUAGAU